GAGAAGGUUAAUUUAGCUGGAUUUUUGGCCUGCAGAGGCAAAACACCUAUAUUUAAAUGUCUAGCUAGUUGCUUUGUGGAAAUUGUCUAUGAUGCUGAAGUACUAAUUGCAGAUAAAUUUGCACUAGUCAUGAGAUGAUUGAAUUUUGACUUCAGAGGAGACACUGAGUAUAUAUUUGUUCAUAUAAAUUGAAGAGUUGUGAGAGGUUGCUUUGGGGGACUUAAUAUUUAGGUGAUAAUUAUACAACAAAUUGAGUUUCUUUUGGGUUUGAUUUGGUCCCUUGAAAGCCUUGUUAAUUUAUAAAAUUUCGCAACAAAAUGACUCUUUCUCUUGUUUCAUAGACCUUUUCCAAAGUUGAAUGUUGUUUUUUAACUGAAGAAAUAUAACAAUGAACUUUUCCAAAGUUGAAUGUUGUGAUUCCUCAAAAUUAGAAUUCUCAUCAUUUUGAAAUCAGUGAAAUUGUCUUUUCAAUUAGGAAAUAAAUCUGGGUUUUUACUUAUGCUAGUAAAGACCUAGCAGAUGACAGGAAUCAUCAAAGAUUUGCUAACUCCACUGAAAAAAGAA
rnacentral:misc_RNA from 1 species